GUGAUAGAAAUUGAAGAUGCUUCACCCACCAAGUGUCCAAUAACAACCAAGUUGGUUUUAGAUGAAGAUGAAGAAACCAAAGAACCUUUAGUGCAGGUUCAUAGAAAUAUGGUUAUCAAAUUGAAACCCCAUCAAGUAGAUGGUGUUCAGUUUAUGUGGGAUUGCUGCUGUGAGUCUGUGAAAAAAACAAAGAAAUCUCCAGGUUCAGGAUGCAUUCUUGCCCACUGUAUGGGCCUUGGUAAGACUUUACAGGUAAGAGCUGAAGAAUAUGAAGGUAUCCUGUUUUUGUGGAUUCAUUAAUAUAUAUUGGAUUCUAUUAUGUUUCAGGCACAGUCGUAGGGGCUGAAGAUAAAGCAGUGAACAAGAAUAACAAGAUCUGUCUCCAAGGAGCUUAUAUUCUAGUGGAGGAGAGAGCUGCUAAUCA
rnacentral:lncRNA from 10 species